rnacentral:lncRNA from 1 species
UUGUCUCUUACAGUUGUGUUCUGAAAAGUGAGAAAAGAAAAGAGACAAGAUGAAAAAAAAAAGAAAAAAAAAUACAGAAAAAUGAGAAAAUUAAAAAAAAUUGUUGUGUGAAUAAUGGAGACAAGAAGAGGAUUGAAUUAGAGGGUUUGGGUGUGAUUUGACUGUGUUUACACUUGUUCCCCAUUGCUCCUCUAUUUCUUUUGGUUUGUAGCUUCUCAUCCAUAUUUAUCCUCCCUUGUCCUUGGC